rnacentral:lncRNA from 1 species
GCCAGCAUGCUGCACAGACUUCAGCAGCCCACCUCUGGCUCACUCGCUCACUUGCUGGCAGGCUGGCUCAUCCUCCAGGGGCAAGAGAAGGAGAGAGGAAAGGAAAUGGAAAAGUCUCUGAUGUGUCAGGGAGCCUGCCGGCCGCUGGUGAGCAUCACGGAGUCCUAAAGCCCCACCUGCCAAAUCAGCAGCCCAGUUCUCUGCCCGUGCUUGUAAUUAGUCUGUCUGAGCAUUUAGGGCAGCCCUGGGGAACAGAAAGGGUGGGCAGGAGGAGCUGGCGUAGGAGCACCUGAGGCUGGGGCUGCAGAGCAAAGCAGAGGGGAGCCACCUGAGAGGACCCCUGUCCAGGGGGAAGGGAGCAGCAGGGACCCAUGCCCUGACAUCCUGUCUGGAGACAUGGCCUUCGGAGAGCCUGGCGGCACUAGCUGAACUGCCCACUGGCCUCUGACACCACAGCACUAGUCAGGACCUGGUUCCAGCCAGCCUGGACCAUUUACUAGCUGUGGGACUGAAACUCGGGGAGGCAGAGGCAAGGGAUCAAUUUCCUCAUCUGUAAAAUGGGAAUAAGCAACAUCUGCCAAGGCCAUCGAUGUGGACAUCGUCCUGAAAUGGACAGCCUUCCCUGCCUCUGAGAUGGCUCCGUGAAAUAGAAGCUGUGGACGUCGUCCUGAAAUGAACAGCCUUCCCUGCCCUUCGAGCAGAGCUGCCGUGGGUCUUUGAAGCAGACAGUGAGCCUCAAAAGUGGAUCGUUUUAAUACCUCCCUUCUGAAGAGGAAAGUCUGUGCUGCGCCUUCUUCCUCCCUCUGUGUGCUCGUCCUGCCCCUGCCAGCAGCCCCAUCCACGUUCAGGGAGGCAGGGAGGAAGGGAGUCCAGGCUGGCCAAAGGCCUUGGGGCCAGCAGACACUUCCAGAAAAGACCAUAUGGAAGAGUUGUGAAGAUGGACAGUGGUGACAGCUACACAACAAUGUGAAGGUUUUCACACGCACUGCAGAGUUUCCAGAGAUAAAGCCCCACAACCAGAGAUGGCAAAGCACCUCCUUUCUCUGCCUCCAGAGAGGAGAAUUCAGCCGAGCAGGAAACUACGGAGUCUCUGAUUGGCUUCUGAGAGCUGGAGCAGUUUGUGAGUGUCAGGGACCCAGGAACCUCAGCCCCAGGCUGUCAUUCCCUUCGGCUUCUGGCUCAGUCCUGCUGCAUCUUAUAAGGCCCCUGGGUGAACUAGGGGCUGGGAGGUGGUGCGUUACCCCUAGAGCAGCUGGGCCCACAGGCUCACCAGGCUGAGGGAGUGUGGCCUCACGAUCAAGAGCAGGGGAUUUUGAGGUCAGACAGGACUGGGAGCAAAUCUCAGCCCUGCAGCUUCCUGCUGUGGGACUGUAGAUAAAUGACUGGGUUUCUCUGGGCCUGCAAAGCUCUCAAUAAACAGGAGCAGCCAGCAGCAGGACUGGAGUCCACAGGUGAUCUGUCUCUGACCUCAGGUGUCCACAACCAUCCUCUCAGAAGACAGGCAAGCAAGGCAGCUCUCCUGCCCCUCAGCACUGGCCACGCUGGGACACAGUGGGACACCAGGACUUUAAGCCAUCCUUUAGGCCAAAGAAUCCCCACAUAACAAAUUCAUUGUGUGCAAUAAAGAACUUGGCUGCACCCCUAUCGGGGCGUUUGAGAUCCAAAUUGCUGCCUUGGCACUUUGGAGACACAGAAAGGAGAAAUGAGCUCAGGGUCUCUGGGAAAAGCCCUUUAAACCUGCUUGAGAAAUCAGAUUUGUCUGGCUGCGGCUCAUCUGCCCUCCAGGUCUGGAAUAAGGGGAAGGGACUCUGGAGGGCUGUCUGACAGGCAUGGAAAGCAGUGGGCAAGGGAGGGCAAGGUUUAGGGAAAGAGGGUGAC